rnacentral:rRNA from 1 species
AUUGAACGCUGGCGGCAGGCCUAACACAUGCAAGUCGAACGAGUGGCGGACGGGUGAGGAAUGGCUGGGAAACUGCCUGAUGGAGGGGGAUAACUACUGGAAACGGUAGCUAAUACCGCAUACCAGCAGAUGUUCCCAGAUGGGAUGAGCUUGUUGGGGGUGUAACGGCUCACCAAGGCGACGAUCCCUAGCUGGUCUGAGAGGAUGACCCUCCACACUGUGACUGGGACACGGUCCCGACUCCUACGGGAGGCAGCAGUGGGGAAUAUUGCACAAUGUGCACAAGCCUGAUGCAGCCAUGCCGCGUGUAUGAAGAAGGCCUUCGGGUUGUAAAGUACUUUCAGCGGGGAGGCGUUACCCGCUGAAGAAGCACCGGCUAACUCCGUGCCAGCAGCCGCGGUAAUUC